UUUAAGCAUAUUAUUAAGCGGAGGAAAAGAAACUAACCAGGAUUUCCCUAGUAGCGGCGAGCAAACAGGAAUGAGCCCAGCACCUAAUCCCGCUGUUCCGCCGCAGGGAAAUGUGGUGUUCGAGAGGGUCCGCUUAUCCCGAGGUGCCGCGUCGCGUCCAAGUCCAUCUUGAAUGGGGUCACUUACCCGCAGAGGGUGCCAGGCCCGUAGCGACCGGUGCGCGUCUCGGAAGAUCUCUCCUCAGAGUCGAGUUGCUUGAGAGUGCAGCUCUAAGUGGGUGGUAAACUCCAUCU
rnacentral:ncRNA from 1 species